UCCGUAGACUGUAUUGUAAGUUAUUCGUUAAAUCCUAAAGCCUAACUUUAGAAAAGCAUUUAAUACUACUAUACUUGAGUUUUUUGUCAGAAGAGUAGAAUUUCAUGUCGAGGAGUAACGACUGCAGACACAUGAAGGAAUAUCAGCAGCGAAGGCGGCUCUUUGGUAAAAACUGACGUUGAGGGACGAAAGUGUAGGUAGCAAACA
rnacentral:rRNA from 1 species